rnacentral:rRNA from 1 species
AUUGAACGCUGGCGGCAGGCUUAACACAUGCAAGUCGAACGGUUUUGAGUACUUGUACUUAAGAUAGUGGCGAACGGGUGAGUAAUGCCUAGGAAUCUGCCGAUUAAUGGGGGAUAACGUUCCGAAAGGAACGCUAAUACCGCAUACGCCUACGGGGAAAGGCAGGGAGUCUUCGGACCUUGCGUUAAUUGAUGAGCCUAGGUCGGAUUAGCUAGUUGGUGAGGUAAAGGCUCACCAAGGCGACGAUCUGUAGCGGGUCGUGAGAGGAUGAUCCGCCACACUGGGACUGAAACACGGCCCAGACUCCUACGGGAGGCAGCAGU